GGAAUCUAGAAACCACAAACUUGUAGCCUAGUAAGAUCUGAUGAACUCCAAGUUUUAGAAUUAGCUGGUAAGCUGGGGGUAGACCCCAAAACUUGUCCUAGUUCCCUGUUCCCUUCAGAAUCCACCCUGAAGGGAAUCUCUGAUUAGUAGUUUCAGACUAAAUAAUAGACUUUAUGUCAAUCCCACUUAGGUGGGGCUAAGCAAAUACUAAAUAGUCUUUUUGUUUUAGGUAGUCUUCCCCAUUGUAUUAGAGACCCUUUCCCAAGAAGACCCACACCUGAGCUAGGACUACCCUUUUAAUAUCCAUUGUAAGCAGCCCCUUCCCUUACACCCUAGCCUCUGGCUAGGAUUCUUUUCCCAAACUUGAUUGUAUUCUGUAAGUAUAGUUUGAAUACUCCCAUUUCCUUGUAACCAUAGUAAUGUCAGUCAAUCAUAUUCCCCUGCCCCUCAGUUUCCAAAAAGGCAUAUAAGUCCCCCAAAUUCUUUUGUUCCUUGGAGUUGUCAGUCUAGUGUGGUUAGUUCUAACAGGGGUCAGUGUCUAGAACAACCAGAGUUUUAAUCUUCAGAAUUCUGCUUGGGUGUUAGCAGGCAUUUCUCCACGGAGGCCUAAGUUUGCAUGGAACUCCUUUCCCUAAUUAAAGAGUGGCUUUUUCUGACUAUUUAAUAGUUCUGUGUUUUUUCCAAGUUAACAUAUAGUACCCCAGAUGGGACUCCGAAAUCCCAACUGCCUGAGCCGCCCUGCUAACAAGGAGAUCAGGACGCAAGGCACCCACACAACCCAUUUGGAGUUGAGUCAGGAUUCCAGCUAGCAGAGUAGCCAGAUGUUUUCCUUUCAGGUACCCAACCAAAAGGCAGAAGGAGAGAAGGUGUUAUUUUUGCAAAAAGCCUGGACACCUGAAGAGAGAUUGCAGGUAGCUGCUAAGCAAGAUGAAAUGGUGCCAGGGUGAAAAUUCCCCUCAGCAUGGAGGAUCACAAAGGAAUACCAGAGGUGUAUGUAAAGAAUUUCUAGCAUUUUGGAGCAACUCAGCCUGCCUGGGAAGGUCCAUUUCAAGUACUGUUUACCACUGCAACAGCUAUAAAAUUUGAAGAAAAGGAUUCUUGGAUUCAAUGCUCACAUGUAAAGAGAGUACCUUCUAUUGAAACUGAUUGACUGUAUCUUGUCACAGGCAUUGGAGAUAAAAGGCCAUAGACAAGUGGACACUGUUUCUGGGAAUACACUGAAUUACUGAAUUUUUUUAUUUUCAAUAGAAUAUUUGAAUUUUUUUCUUCCCCUUUCUUAUUUCUUGGACUUAAAGUACAUAUAAUCAAUAUUAAUCUUUUUCUGAUUUUGCAGUAAUAUAAAAUUUAAAAAUAUAUUUAUUCUAAUAUUAAUGCAUACCCAAAAGCUUUAAACUAUUGAAACCUGCCAUUUAUUGAUAAAUGUUAUGGGACUGUGAUGAAUGAUUGUGUCUGAUUCCAGGAGAAGGGAUCAUAAAGAGCCACUGCAGUGCCAGGAAGAGGACAAAAAGCAAUCUGCACAGUGCCUAUGAGCACAGUCACACAUUUGGACAAGUACCAAAGUUUGGCUACCAUCCUGGCUCCCCUAUCCCUGAGUGUGGAGGUUAAAUCAGAUAGGGAAACACAUUUUACUUUUACACAAAAAUCUAGUCCUUUUUUCCCUCUUAAAGUAUGACAACUUCCUGUAGUCCUGGCUGCCAAUGGGUAAGUGUAAUAUCACUGCAUUUGUCUUACAGACUUGUGGGACAGAAAUUACUUUAAUUGAACCCUGAUUUAAGAAGCUGUUAUGGAUUUAUUCUUGUUUACUCAGAAAUUUUCCCUACAUAAAUUUUGAUUUUUUUUAACCAAAAUUUAGUUUUUCUCUUUUAUUUGGGUUUUUUUAUGUUUUGGGUUUUUCUUUUGAUAAUUAACUCAUACACCCCAUAACUCAACCAUGCAUCCUAAGUUUAUCUGGGUGUUGGUCAACACCCUUCACAGGGGGGUAUUGUAUAUUUUUCAUAAAAUCCACAAUUUAAAAUUUUGUUUCAGAAAAAUUUCAGGGAAAGAAGUAUGCUAACUCUUUGAAUCCAGAAAAUGAAGUGUUUGGAGAAAAUGCCUGCAGAAACCUACACUGCAUCAGAGAAUCCAGAAUGAACUUUGAGGUGUAAUUGAUUGAACUGAAGGGGGUUGGACACAUUUAUUUUGAAUGUAAACUUUUAUGCCAAAGGGGACUGCCCUCUAAUUGGCUUUUUGUCAAUUUGCCUAGCAAACAUUGGUUUUUCUCUCUCUUUCUUCUAUUUCUUUCUUAUCUUUAACUAUUGUAGUUUCCUCUUAGAAGGGGCAAUAUUAUAUGCACCUGUAGUUAGAAGAUUUUUAGGGGUAUAAGAUGAUAAUGUCAAAUGAUCCUUUGGGGAGACUAGUCUCCCCAAAGGAUCACAAGGGAAUGUAAAGAUGGAAUUAACUCUUCACUCACCUACUUUUAAAUUUAAUCACCAGAAGCAAAAACACCCUUACUUAAUUCCUAAGUGGGAGAGAUCCGCAACCCAUGUGCUAAAAUUCUGACAACUCAGAAAUGACUGACUGCCCCCUAGGCAGUCCUAAGCAAAAUUAUAGACUGCAAUUGGUCCCUGUCAAGUAGAUAAAGGCACAGGAAAUAAUGAAAAGAAAAGUGGCUUUAAAAGUGGCUGCAACUUCCUGUGAGUGAGUCUUUUUGAAGCUCUAGAGGCUAGUGGAGGAUCUUCCUCAGUGUGUGAGAUUUAAAAUGGUUGAGGUCUUAAAUUGUAGUGAUUAAAAUAGUGGAAGAUAUAAAUUAUGAUAGAUAUAAGAGAGGGUGAGUAAAUUUGACCGCAGAAAAUAUGUUUCACUACAGUGUCUUGGUUUUUAAAUCAAAUAUAAGAUGGUUGCCGGGGAAAUAUUCCCAAUUAUUCAAAUACCCAAGUCAACUGGGUUUUAUAGAGAUUUUUAAUUAAUAAUAUAAUGAGGAAUGAGAGAAAGAAUAGGAAAAGAAUAAUUAUGAAGGGCCUCAAGCCAAUAUGGCCUAGACCUGAGUCUUAAGAGAGAGAAUCAGUUAGUCAGUCUUUUAACACUCACCACAAGGUCUGCCUAAACAAGGAUUCUGGUGACACCAGGCCAGCUCCAUCUCAGCUGACUUCACCAGAGAGCCUUCCAGCCAGAGACUGUUCCAAAGGGCCUCGCUCCAGAGCCUCCAGAGGGACAGAGUCUCCUUAGAGGAGCUCCAGGGAGAUCUCCUUAGAGAUUGUCCUCCAAGAGCUUCCCUUCUCCAGAGCCUCUCUCAAGAGAUUUUUCCCAAGCGGUCCUCAUCAGAGAUCCUCCAAAAGGAUUUCUCCAAAAGGAUAUCUAUCUUCAAGAGAUUCUGCUUUUUCUUAUAUAGGGGUUUUUCUCCUAUGUCACCUCCCCUAAGUCCCUACAUCUACCAAUCACUGUAGAUGCUUUCCAAAGGACUACCCAUCUGAAUUCCUGCUAAAUCGACAAAUCUCCUCAGUAAGUCUGAACCAGUGAAAACACAGCUGAGUCAACUAAUCUCAUUAAGACAAAACUUGCCCAACCCUUUUAGGUACCUAGCAUCUCAUUGUAUCAAUUCUAAAAACAGGCCUGGCUCAAAGAACUCCUUGCCCCACCAUAAGCAUGGAUCCAAGUACUUUCAUUGUUUAGCAAGGAGUUUUUUUCCCCUAAAGCAGUCUUAAGUACGGUUGGAGUAGAGGUCCUCCCAUUUCUGAUCCUGGCGAGUUCUCACAUCAAAAUGGGGAAUGUAUCUCAGUAGGGAAUUUGUUCCAAUUAAGAAUUCCCUGAUGGGGAAAUUCUUAACAUUCACAAGUCUGAGAGAUUUCAAGAUUUACAAGUGUGGACCUAGGACUAUAGCAUUUGGUAAGAUAGCUUUUGGAUUUUCCCCUUUGUACUACCCCUUUUGACUUUUCAUUCCCCUUUUGUGGUUGAAUGAAAAGCUGACUCCUUUUCCUGGCUUCUGGAGAGAUUAGUUUCCAGAGGAGGCCUCAUGGUUAUUCACCACCAGGUCCUCAGCUUGAGUUGAGCCAGGCACCAGAAAAACAUUUCGGGUGAUUAGCUAGACUGCUUAUUCUACCCUCUUUAACAUUUCCCUACUUUACUCUUUCCCUCUAUUUUGUAAAUAAAGCUGUUAAAUAAAAAGUCA